CGUUCAGCCAAUGUGAAUAUUGCGAACAUCCUUUUUCAUUCGUCUGGGCCCGCGUCCAAGGGCUACCCUCUCUUUCUCCAGAUUACGCAAUCAUCAGCCAGCAUACGCGAAACACGUUCGUAAACACACGCACGCGCAACCCACAUAUAUAACUAAAUGAAUAAGCACUCCGCUUCUGUCUACGUUAGUAGUAAUUAAUAAUGAAAUAAAUCGGAGGCUGCUGGAUUUAUCAAAUUAAUAUACUCCGUUCUACGAAAUCGUGCAAUCCUCUGAACUCCUAUAUAGUUCAGCAAGAGAUUAAAACUGUUUCAAAAGAAGGAGAACGAAGCGGGGAAAGGUCCAGUAGUAUCAGAAUAAUUCUCCUUGAUGAAUAGAGAAAAGGAAGUUGGUAAGUACACGAGACGAUCAGGCCGAUGCCGCUGACCUACAUGUUGAUCAGAUCCUCUUCGAGGUUUGGAGGUUACCAAAUCAGACGCGUGACACCGUUCGUGGAUUUGGACACAGCGCCGGGAAUACGCACUAGAUAUUUAAAAUAUACACGCAUUCUUGUGCGCGUUCGUGCACAUGUGCGCUAAAUAUCUCGUUGUAGUUAAGGAAGAGACGUCGGGGAGAAAGUAACUGUCUUCUCUUCCCGUCUCUCCACACACCAUACCAGAAGACAAUUCAAAGCGAGGUCAAGGCCUUUCGCUACACUUCCACCACGUCAAUCGCGAUCGAUCGACCAGCACGAAUGGAUUGUACGUAUGUAUAUUUAUAUCCACAUGGCUGUUUAUCGUGACAGUUAUUCCCUGCGGAAGUUAAACUUUGCUCUAGCUUCUCAACAGUCCACAGUGACGUGCGGUGAUGUAAAAUAAAUCGACAGUUAUUUGCUUGUAUAUUUACAAAAAUUUGCAAAGAUAUUAAACCACCUAUCAAACUAAAA